GCCUCUACAUUCAACCUGUGCUUGACAAGUCAUGCUCCUGUCGAUGGCAAUUGAGAGUGGUAAACAUCGACACCUGGCCUGAAGAUAGAAAGACGUUACGAAGUGUGGGCGGGCGGCUGUGAUUUAAGUAAGUAUUAAACAUUUUAUUGAAAUGUAGCGGUUAAUAUUUGUUGAUUUAUUGGAACUAUGGUAUUUUUUGUUUGAAGGCUAUUAGCCAAGGAAAGUGAUAGAUAGCACUAAUUAGCUACCGUACCAAAGUCAGUUAGCAGUUGUCGAGGAUUUUAGGUACCAGGAUGGAUUUAUUCACAUUAUAAAAGUAAUAUUUUUGAAGUCAGUACACAUGUAGAAGACUGUAGGCUUCUUCAAGUUUAAGUGCACCUCGGCUGGUGAGGCCUGGUCACACAUGGCAGCAGAGCCCAGGAAUUAGCCACAGCCCAAUCAGUAAUCAUGACACUGUGGCCAAUCAUUAAUGCACACUUGUCUGUAUUUUAUCUUUUAUCUACUGACACAGCGCCCACGCUAUGUUUUCUAUUUCUGGAGUAUUAUUGAAAAAUCCCAACAGCAUUGUAAAGCUGAGACUCGUGAGCAUGCGCACAUGUAUGGAUUAGUAUGGUAGUCUCAGCAAUGUGAUGAAGGAAAUCGUCUGAAAAUUCUAUCAAUAUGGCGAGGCCACUGCACAACUUCUCAGUACCAUAACGCCUUGAAAGUUUGUUCAAUUAGGAAAAUUUCAAUGCAACAGAGAGCUGAGAAGCCAAGAUUUCUGUCAAUAUAUGAUGUGUAUGGUAUUCAUUACAGCAAUGUGAAGCAGCACCGCUGAAACUGCAGCUUAGACAGAGGAUGCAGGAGAACUGUAUGUUUUUCACCGAGUUUUGAACAAAAUCUUUCUUAUCUAGCAACAAGAAAGUUUUCAAAUGACAAUAAUGAUCAUAAAAUAUUCUCUUAUUGAUUAGUUAAUUUGUCUGAUUUUAAAGGUCUUCUUGAUUAACAGAGCAUGUGCUGUCCAUUGUGGGCAUUUAGUGGAAAUGAGAUCCUAAUGAUUCUGUACAAUAAUAUAUCAUAGAAGACAAGACAAGUAAGCUAUAUGUUACGUGAAGGGACCAGUGCUUGAGAAGAGUUGGGAUUUUAUCUUAAGUUUGUCCUUAUUUAUUUUACUAAUUAACAAAAGUCAGAGUUUUACUAUGUCUUCAAUUUAGACAGGACUUGAAGCUGAGAGGAGGAGAAACGUUUAUCAUCCUUCAUGUGCUGCAUUUUUCUUUCUCUUAAAGUGGAGAGGGAAAACAUGGUAAGACUUAUAAUUGCACCUCAUCUCUCACAUAUUCCUUUAUAUGCUUUGUAAAAAUUGUUAAAUUUGAUAUAAACUUGGACAAUCAGUGUCUGCCAUUUAAUAAUGUGACCCUGCAAGGUAAAAGAAAUACAUUAAAUGUUCAAAUGUAGCCAAAUGAAAAUAAAUAUUUUGCACAGGACCUGGACAAGACGUUAUUUUUUAAGUAAAAUUGUUUUAAUUUUGGUAUUUCUCUUGUCCAUUUUAAGUAUUGAUGCAUCCCGAGAGGAUUGGUCAUUUGGCCUCCUGGUGAAUGAUGAACACAGACAUCCAAACUGCCGUAUGAAAAAAAUUGAGGUAAAGGGAAGCCCACACUUGUGUCUUUUUUCUUUAAAAGACAUAAGGGACGGUGAAGAAAUUACAUAUGACUAUGGAGGCAACGACUGCCCAUGGCGAAUGCAAGUAUGUCUGAUGAUAGCACAGUAGAAUGUAUCAGAAUAUCAUUGUGUAUAAAGGUGUCUUCUUAAGUGUUUUCACAUUUUUUGGAAAUUUUGGACAGGAUAUUACUCAUUGUGAGGGUAAUGUGUUGUCAAUCAGGUCUACUAAUUACUAUUUACCUACUUGGAUAUAAUUUAGUGUUGACAUUACAUUGACCUAAAGCUCUUCAUAUCUACAUUGUCUUUUCCUCACAAAUCAUUGCAGAUGAAGUUGUGUGCCAUGGAUUCUCAUCCUAACAUUGCCUUUUCCUUACUAAUCAUUGCAGAUGACAUUGUGUGCCAUUAAAACUGAUCAUGUCAAGAGCUCUGAUCCUGCUGUUAUGUCUGGGAAACAGAUGAAAGAAGCUUCAUGCUCACAGGACACUCCUCAACAGGUACUUUCACCUUCAUCACCUGACAUUCACUUUUACAGCCUGUGUAAGUUUUGUUUUAGCAACUUAAUACAGCAAAUGAGCUCCUUGUGAGGGUAUUUUGUUGUCAAUCAGGUCUACUAACAGCUAAAUCCAAUGCCUCAAUGUGGCAAAAGAUGACAGGACUUUAAAGUUGGAUGUGAACCUUUGUGGAUUUUUUCCCUGGGGCCAAAUAUCAUGUUGGUCUGGUAAAUUUACGAUGUCCCCACAAUGCACUUUUCAUAUUAGUAUUAGUGUUGAGUAUAAACCAGAGAUGCUUUGUCCCCGGCUUAACUUCCCAUGGAAAGUUUCUGGAAGUUUACCAGAAAUUUACAGGAAAUUUUACGCUCCUUUGCAACCCUAGAUGUAAGUUUAAGUUAGCUGCAAACUGAUGACUAAGAGCUGUAUUGAUCAAAUCCGAGGACAGACGCUUAUAUUAGCCCUGAUCAUCCUCAUAAUUUCACUUGUACUGUAUGUACCGACACAGGACUUGGAACUGUAGCUUCUCCUUUAUACUGUUAAUAAAACCUUUAUUUUUGUCUCCUUGCAGGUAAAGCUAAACAGAAAAGAACACCUUGGCAGACGGCAGAGGUUAGAGCAGUAGAGAGGCAUAUGAAUCAGUUCAUCCAAUGUUGUACUGUACCAUCGAAGAGAGAUUGUGAGAAAUGUUUGAGAGCUGAACCUGAAGCUCUCAGUCACAGAAACUGGCAGAACUUGAAAUUUUAUGUCUACAACAUGAUUACAGCCUUGAAAAGGAAAAUGCACCCUAAAUAGUAUGGCCCAUACAAAGAAAGUGGUUGUGGGUAAGCUUUGUUUUUUUUUCGUAGUCAUUUUUUUUCUGUCUGAAUAAUAACUUCCACCCAGUUCCAGCUUUGUGGAAGUUGUUUUGUAUUAUCUGGUUUGGGGUAUUGAAAUGCAAGUCCAUUUCACACCAGAUUUCUCCUUUUAAAAUCAAAUUUCAUGAAGCCAAUUGUUAAGUGUGGCAGAUAUUUCUUUAAAAACUCGAGACUUUUUAUCAUCACACAGUUGCUGAACUUGUGUGUGUGUUUAUUUUUUAUACACAUAAUGUUAUUGUCAUUGCAGAAUUGUAAUUUAUACAAUGUUAUUAAAGAAUAUGUUGUGUUGGUCAAACCAGUUUGAUUUCUGGGUGGGGUGGUGUUGCAUGUUGACUGAGUUGUAGCAAAGUCCUUUAGGCAAAUCAUGCAACUUGGCAGUUAUUUCCGGCUAACGAGACCAUACACAAUCUAAAUUUAUGAGGGUAGAGCCAAAAACUUCCAGUGAUCACUGGGACAUUAAAACUGCAUGCAUGGAAUUCCUGGUCAAUACUGGUCGUUGAAAAGGUGGUGGAUGGUGGAAAUGUCUGGAAGUUGUGUCCUAGUCUUCCCUGCAGUCUUUAUCAACUUUUUGUCUUUAUCAAGAGCCUGCAUUUCCGCCUUCGCACAGCUUUUAAACCACAAUCUAUGGUAUCAGGGAUUCUGCAUGAUUCUGGGUGCUGCUAUAGUAGAUGUAAAAUGUGAAACUUGACAUUGUGUAUUGUGGUUUAACUUUGUAAUAAGCCUUCAUCUCAUCCUGAGUGCAAUAUGCAGGAGAAUUUACUACAUUUGCCCAUUUCAAUGUAUAUAUAUGUGUCCCCACUAGUAACAUAUAAAUCUGUGUGAAAUAUGCAAAUGUAUGCAAAUGCAGUCCCCUGUUAACAGGUUAACUUGUUUUUCCCGGAAGUCCCCAAAUAGCAUGGGGACACCAGUACGAAUUAUCAGUUUCAACUUUUCAAAGGUUUAAAGGUGUGUUUAGGUUUAGUAACCAAUGGCUGCUUUACCUGAUUUUUUUCACACUUGUAGGACAUCUAGAAAGGGUAGUCCCCACAAAUGAUGAUUGCAAACUUGGUCCCCAUGAACAAUGGAAACCAGUAUAUGUGUGUGUGUGUGUGUGUGUGUGUGUGUGUGUGUGUGUGUGUGUGUGUGUGUGUGUGUGUGUGUGUGUGUGUGUGUGUGUGUGUGUGUGUGUGUGUGUGCAUAUGCAGCCAUGAGAACAGCCAAAAUCCUUCCAGAAACAGCGGCAGUUGUACAAUCUGCACCUGCAGUUUCCUUCUGUGUGUGUGUCUGAUUGUGUGUGUGUGAUUGUGUGUCUGAUUGUGUGUGUGUGCGCACGUGUGUGAGCAAGCUCAUGAGGUUCAUAGCGGGCACCUGAUCAAUGUGAGUGCGUAAAAGCAAGCAAGGAAGGGAUGGAGUGUGUGUGUGUGUGUGUGUGUGUGUGUGUGUGUGUGUGUGAGAUUGUGUGUGCGAGGUUCAUAGCUGGCACCUGAAGAGGGAGGGCUUCAUCGAUGUGCUUACGUAAAAGCAAGGGAUGGAUGGAUGGAUGGUGUGUGUGUGUGUGUCUGAUUGUUUUUGUGUGUGUGUGUGUGUGUGUGUGUGUGUGUGUGUGUGUGUGUAUGUGUGUGUGUGGACAAAAAAGACUGACAUUUAUGGGGUUAAAAUACAAAACCUGAAUAAAGUUUUGCUAUUUAUGAUUAGGUUAUAAGUCAAUGAUGGCAGCCAAAAAAAAAAAAAAUUUAAAUACAUUUAUUUAGACCAUAUUUCUACUGUAGCAAAAUGGAGGGGACCGUUUCGGUCCUUAGGGGUGUUUAUUGAAGUUUUUAUUAUUAUUCAACACUACAGAAAAAAUACAAAUCCUUUCAAAUCAAUUUUCUCAUCAAUGUUUACCAAUCCCAUGCUCUUAUAAUCAAAACUUUAAAAAAACUAAUGAAUUGGAAAAUAAUUCAAGUGUGUUUUUGGACUUAAAAUAAUAUCAGGUUUUUACAAAAAAGACUGGCAUUUAUGGGGUUAAAAUACAAAACCUGAAUAAAGUUUUGCUAUUUAUGAUUAGGUUAUAAGUCAAUGAUGGCAGCCAAAAAAAAAAAAAUUUUAAUACAUUUAUUUAGACCAUAUUUCUACCGCAGCAAAAUGGAGGAGACCGUUUCGGUCCUUAGGGGUGUUUAUUGAAGUUUUUAUUAUUAUUCAACACUACAGAAAAAAUACAAAUCCUUUCAAAUCAAUUUUCUCAUCAAUGUUUACCAAUCCCAUGCUCUAAUAAUCAAAAGUUUAAAAAAACAAUUUGCAUUU